rnacentral:lncRNA from 1 species
GAGGGGAUCCCACCUGACCAGCAGAGAUUGAUCUUUGCUGGUAAACAGUUGGAAGAUGGAAGGACUUUGGCAGAUUAUAACAUCCAGAAAGAGUCCACCCUUCACCUUGUCCUGCGUCUGCGUGGUGGUUUCUGAAUGCUGCAUCUAUAUGCAGUUGAAGGCUGUCUCUUGAAGAUGGCAGUAUUUUGUGUUGUCUGCUUGACUUCUGUUCGUGUUCAAGCCAUGGGUCCUAAUAACUUCUCAAGCGUUUUUUAAAUGUAUAGUUUAGGGAUUUGGUGGUGGUGUUCCAUGUUUGUGAUGGGAAUUAAUGGUGGUGUUAUUUGAUUUGUUAAUAAAGUUCAGAAGUUUUCAAUAUUCGCGCGCCCUGGAAAUUUUUGGUCAUUUGAAGUUUUUUGUUUUUUCCAUUCAAUUACUACCUUAUAUGCUUCGAGAUGUGACAAGAAAAUUUGACAAAAGCCACAGCCUACUUUUGAUUGCUAUUAGCGUUCUCUCAUCGCCUUGAUUGCACUUGCUUAUUAGUGUUCUCUCAUCGCCUUUGAUUGUGCUUCCUAAUGAGAUUUAAUUUCAGUGUUUUGAUGUAUGAUAGUUCGAGCUUGGAAUUUUGGUCAUUUGAAGUUUUUGUUUUUCCCAUUCAUUACCAUCGAUAUGCUCGACAAGAAAUGCAAGUUGGCUCUUGAUUGAUAUUAGCAUUCUCUCAUUGCCUUGAUUGUGCUCGCUUAUGAGAUGUGAUUUCAGCGUUUGGUGUAUGAUAGUUCGGUUUAUUGGUGAGUUGUGAUCCUUUUGGCAGUGUUGUUUAGACUUUAGAGAUGUCUAAUGGUAACUAUAGCUGUUUAUUGCAAGUAAUCUGCACAAUUAGUUCCUUUGGGAUUUUGCUAAGUAGAACUAUAGGUGGAUUUUAUUGGUCUGUAACCAAUAAUUGCCUUGCGGUUUUCUUUACUAUAAGUUAACGCAUUGCAUAUGUGAACUAAACAAACCGAAACUCAAGCUUGUGUUUGGAUUGUAUUUUUCGUCAUUUUUCAUGGAAAAAUUAUUGUAGCGAUUUGAUAUAUGUGAGGGAAAAAGGUGAUAGGGAAAUGUGAUCACGGAAAACGAUAAUAUUUUCCGACAGAAACAAGCAAUCCUAGAUUUUCAUCAACUUCCUUUUACAAGAAUCCAGUUACCGAGGAUGUCACAUCUUGUAUUUGUCUGAGGACUUGGACAAGUUGACCAUAGUAUACCGUUUGAUCAAGUUGAGAUUACCAGGUUGAAGAAGUGGUUAAUACAAAAGCUUUUCUUCUUCCUUCUUCCUUCUUCAGAAGUGGUUAAACAGAGUAUUCUAUUCUCUAGAUACAAACGAUAGAUUUACGCGCUUUUUAAAGGCAGACCUCCUGGUUUACAUGCACUAAUUUUCUGAUCUUAAACUUUUUUUUUUUUAAAAAAAAAAGAGCUUCUGUUUGAACUAAAUCAUGGGCCAAAUGCCCAAAAUUAAAGGAAUAAAAGGUGCUGCUGGGAAGCGUUCUUUAUUUGGAGUGCACCUAGGACGGAGUCCAAGCUCAGACUAUUGUCCCUUCUUGCUGCUGCUGAGGCUGAUGAUGAUGACAUUUUCUGAUCUGGGCUGGGAUUAUUUUAUCAUAUGAAAUUCAAGGAUUUCUUUUUUCCUCUCUUCUCGUAUGGGGGAAGGCGAAGGAGAAGAUGGAGGUGGAAGUGGUGGAAGAGGUGAAAGUUUUCUCUUUUCUGGGCCUCGGUGGGCAAAUAUUUCUAAGCUGCGAUCACCCUGUUAUUUUUGGCCUUGGUUUGGGAUGCAGCCAUUAAGGGGUGUGUCCUCACAGUAUCAAUGUGAUGGUGCCAUGCUUAGGGGGUGCUGUUUGUGUUUUGUUGUGACUGAGCAACUGUUUGUGUGUGAUUUUACAGGUGUCAUGUCAUGUUGGGAGUGAAAAGUAGGAUUUCUUUAAAAACAAAAAACAAAGGAGAAAGCAAAACACUUCUUUUAAUUGAUUUGUCUAACAGGUGCUCUAUUAACAUAUAUUUCAGGUAUUAUUUUUUAAAAAUAUAAAAUUAAUUAAAAAAUAAAUAUAAAAAGAAGUAGGCAAAAUUAAAUAUAAAUGCAAGAGAUGAUAAUGAUUGUUAAUAUAUAUAUAUAUAUAUAUAUGAUAAGUUAGGUAAAUAUUAAAUAUGUUGCCGAGGGCUCUAAGAAUAUCCGUUAGAAAAAUUCUUUUUUUUUUUUAAUGUUUUUGCAAUUUGCACUGUGGUCUAAAAUAGGGAUAGAGGGAAAUCCAAUUAUCAAGUAUGGGAAAUCCAAUUACCAUUGAAUUCAAAUCCAAGGGACACCAAAUCCUUAUUGUACGAGUGAAAAUGAAACAAUCUUGAUUUUUUUACUUUUCUUUUCCUUAUACAUAGUACAAAUAACAAAGCUAGCAGGAACUUCAUACCACAUUAUCACAUUUAUUUAUGCAUGCAGAUACUAAUAUGAUGAUGCUCACACUAUGGUUGACUUGAAUUUGGAGAUAUUUCUGUUCUACUCUUUUGAGUGGCGUCAAAUUCUUGAUUUGGAGCCUUUGUGAAAUAUAUUGCAAUCUGCCUUGGAUCCGAAUUAACUUCAUGUGCUAUAAGUUUGUGAUUUAUGCUACAAAAAUAUAGUGAAUGUUUGAUUGUGUGAGAAGUUUUUAUCCACAUUAAUGAGGAAUGGAUACAAAUUGGUUGAACACAAAUAAAAGAAAAACUGUUUAAAUGAAAAAAAAAAUGCUCUACUCUUUGGUUUUUAGAAUUAACAAAGCACUAGAUAUAUGUCCAAUAACGGCUCCGUUUGAGUUAGCUGGUUUUUGGGGUGUUUUUGAAAUAUUUUAUUGUAGUAGUAUAUAUGAAAAAUUUUUACUAUAAACUUUUUUUGAAAUAUUUCAUAUAAUAAUAUGGAUGGGAUGUUUUUUGAGUUAUUGUAUAUUAUUAUAACAUUGUAUUUGAAAAACUUAUUUUUUGAAAAAAUAGUCAAUCCAAACGGAGUCAGGAUUAUUGUAACGAGAAGGUGUAUCUACUUGUUACUAUGGCAUGUACUUCCAUUUUUUGUAUGUAACUAUGGUAUGUACUCGAGUUAAAUAUGGACUUGCACUUGGAACCUUAAUAUUUGAGGAAAAAGACUAACAGGAACUAAUUAAUUUGGCAGAUACUUUGUUGUUGAUUUAAUGCUCAUUGUAAUGCAUUAACUACUCGUUUUCUUUGAUACUGCACAGGAGAUAUUAUUGAAUUUUAGAACUCCAUCUCUAUUUCAUGGUAAAGCAAAGGAAAUUAGUUCAUUAUAGGAAGGGUUUUUUUAAUGGUUGCCUUUGUUACUACACUUAAAAUCCACGUAACUUAUCAUGUAUAUAUACAUAUUAAUAAUAUUACCCUCCCUUGCAUUAAUAUAUUUUUUUCGAUUUAAGCUUUUCUAUCUUUCCUUGUAGUUAUUUAUUUUCUCUAAUUAAUUUUAUAUUUUCAAAAAUAUGAUGCCUGAAAUAUAUCUUAACAGGUGCCCAAUACCCUUAUAACAAAAUAAGAGUCUUUAAACAGUUUGUUAAAAAAAAAAAAAGUUCAUGAUAUGUAUUUUCUACCAUUAAUGCAAAUCUCAUGAAUAAAAUUAUGAUAAUUAUAUUAUAUAAAAAUUUUUUUUUUUUAUUCACAGAUAAGAUGUACUUCAAUUGCUAGACUUUUAGAAAUAUAAGAUUAAUUAGAGAAAAUAUAAGAUUAAUCCAUAGCCUAAUUCGUGCUCUUCAAGUCGUUUGAAAUUUUAAAUUAUACAAUAAAUUACAAUAAAAUUUUGAAUAAACAUCCAAAAAAACUCAAAGGGCCUUUAAUUGAACUCCUUCAUUGAACACUCCCCACAGGAAACUACAUGGAAAUGACAAAAAAGGUCAUGUACGUAAUUUACCAAGAGAGACAUUUGUGUCCUUUCACCAAAUAUAACUUUUUUUUCUAUUUCAAAUUGCAUCAUUGCCGAAGUAAAAUCAAAACAAGUAAAAUUUUAUGGGCCACUGAUAGUAACCAAACUUGACAAACCCAUAAUUCUGUAAGGCAUAUUAAUAUACAAACAUUGCAGGCCUCCAUUAAUUUAUCCUUUCACUUCUUCAUGCUCCAAGAAGAUCCCCCUCUUGUUUAUUGGAAUCUAGACUCGUCAUCAUCUUGUUUAAUUUUAAUUUGGAUGAAUAGGAAUGAUUAUGAAAUAUAAAUGAUAAUUUAAAAAAAUUGAUUAUGUUUUUGUACGUUAUUGUCUUAGUGUGUGCAUCUAUUUUUCUUAGUGCCUAUAUUUGUUGUUUUCUGGCCUACAAUAUAUGGUGCAAUUGAUAAUGACAAUUAUAUAAGACACAGAGGAGCAUACUUUAGUUUUGGUUGCAAAUUGCAAACCUAAACCUUAACUUUGAGGAUUAAUUUUUUAUACACUGAUAGUGUAUACACGUUCACCAUUAGAUGCAUGACACAUAAAUCAAAUUUGAAUUUGAAACUCAAAUUUUGCAUAUGUGUUGCAUAUCCAAACGUGAUAAUGUAUACAAAUAUAAGAUUUUCUCUGACUUGAAUUAUUUAGCCAGAAAAUUUGAAAAAAAAAAAUGUUUCUGGCUCAAUGCACUUAGACUCUUAGAAAUUUAGUCUCCAAUCUUUUUAAAUUGACAAAAUUUGUUCCUUUGGUUAGAACAACAUAGCACAUGAGGACAAUUGAGGGCUCCUAAAACUAGAUUCUCAUAAAUACUUAGAUGCCAAAAUUUGAUUUGUGAGAGAUACAAUUGAACAAGGAAUAAUAUAUAAGAAACCAGAGGUUUUAACUCUUCUUGAAUUUAACCGUAUCGAAAUCCCAAAUUGGAAGAACAUAAUUUGUGUUCUCACUAUGCAACUUUUAUAAGGAUUGAGUAGAAAGAGCAAUAAUUGUCUCCUCUCUAAUCUUGAUUAUUACUACCUCGUUUGUGGUUCUGUCCAUUGUCAAAAACUCGUAUACCUAAAAAUGACCAGUUCUAUUGAUUUGCAAAAGGGCUAUUUAGUCUAAUUGCAGAAAAUUUGGGGGCGAACCCAAGCGAAGAGACAUGAAAUGGCCCAUAACAAGAUAAUGAUUUGCAGGAUUGAAGCAUAAGAAAAACUUAUCAUAAGACCCUGCAUUGUCUUUUCCACUUUUUUUUUUUAACUAUUUUUCAACUUUUGUAUAAUGAUGCACUUUUUCUUCAUAGAUAGGGAUCAAUUGAAGCAGAAACUCUCCACCCUUGUUUUAGGAACCAUAUGCUGCGAGCAGCCUACUCAGACGAAUAAUGAGGUAAAGUUCUUUCUCUUUUUCUUUUUCUUUUUUUUUUCAAAUGAGCUAAAGUUAGAAAUGGAUAAAAUGAAUAUAUUCCAGAGUUUAAUUUGUAUUGUAAUCUUUCUUCAGUCCAACAACUUAGGGUUUGUUUGGUUCACGGAUGAGAUGAGAUGGAAUAAUUUAUUCUCUGAUUAGUCGAGUCACCAUGGGAUCAAUAAUCCAAAUUAUCUAGUAUUUGGUUAGUUUAGACUGAAUAGGAUAUAUUAAAUUAUAAUCCUAUCCUAUGUUUGGUUGGAGAUAGGAUUACUAUUUUAAUGGCUAAAAUGUCCCUUAAUUUGUAGGAUCAUUUUAAUAAAAUAAUUUAAUAAUUUAUAACUUUUAUUAGAAUAAAGUAAUUUGAAACUUUAGAAUUAUAAGUAAAUCAAGGGUUUGAUAUAUAAAAAUUUGCAUUCACUGAAACUCAGCCCAUUUAGGCCCUAAAAAAUAGGUUUUAAUAUAGUUUUUGAAUCUAAAUUUGAAAUUUAAUAAAAUAAUGGGCCAAAUUUUGGCUAAAUUAAGGUUAAAUUGAAUAAAAUUUAAUCCAUUUAAGAGUUUUAAAUGAGCCAAACUCAAGUCAAUAUAGAAGAUUUUUCUUUGAACUAAGUUUGGGCUUAUUGAAACUCUUAUUCGCAAAGCCCAAUUGAUAAGGUAGUGUAUUUAUAUAGAAUUUGGUUGAGAAAAUAAAGUUAGUAAGGGCAAUUUAGUCCAAGAGCAAUAUAGUUCUUUUAUUAUGAUAUAAAUAGGGGUAAAUUUGCUUAAAAAUUUCAAAUUAAUUAAUAGGACUAAAUUUGUCAAAAAAUUUAAAAUAAUGAAAAUGGACAAAAUAGUUUAAAAUUUUAAUAUGAUUAGUAAGGGCAAAUUAGUCUAUUUAUUAAUGUAUUAUUAUGUAAGAGAAUGGUUAUAUAAUAUUCAUCAUUCGCAAGAGUAAAUUAGUUCAAUAUUGUUAUAUUGGUAGUAGGGACAAAUUAGUUUAAAAUUUUAAAAUUAAUUAGUAGGGGCAAAUUAGUCCAUUCAUGUUAUACUAUCGUGUGAAAGUAAAGUUAUAUAAUUAUGAGAGUAUGAAUUUAUAUUAUUCAUAAGGAUAAAUUAAUUUAAAAUUUUAUUAUCUCAUCUUCUGGUCAUCCGAGAAUGACUAAUAUCACCCCCAUGGGAUUAUUUUACCCCAUGAACUGGGGAUUAAUUUGGUUAAUUAGGAUGUGUCAUCCCAUGUGUAAAAUACAAUUAAAUAUGGGAUGACACAAGAUAAUUAAUCCAAUUUUAUGUUAUUCUAUAAACCAAAUGGACCCUUAAGGGAUUGGUCUCAUUUACUUUGCACAUUGAUUUAUAAUUUUAUAUAACCCUAAUGGCCUAAUCAGGAUAAUGAGCUUUUUCUUACAACUAACAAACUUGGCUUUUAAGUCUCCUAAAUCUUUCUUUCUUGUAGUUGUGGACUUUUGCUCUAAUGUUGGCGAAGUCUCAUUUUGUGAAGAACUCCAUAAUGUAAUAACCUUUGCAAAUUCCGUCAAGGACCCAAAACAAGUCUUUUUUGUAAAUAUGAGGGAGCACUUUAUAACUUUUCAUAUGUGAGGAACAAAAAAAAGGACUUGUUACAAAUGUGAGCGAUAAUUUCACUGAUUUUCCCCUGAAUUAAUUCAAUCCCAUGAAUUUGAUUCUCACGUGGAUUUUGAACCCUAGUACAAAAUUCGAAUCCUGAAUUUGAUUCUCCUCUAAUUGAUGGUUUGAAUCAUGAAUUUGAUUCUUUCCCAACAGCCAAACAUGGAAUUCGAAUUCGAACCUUGGUACAAAAUCCGAAUCUUGAAUUUGAUUCUCCCUUAACUGCCAAACAUGGUUCAAAUCUUGAAUUUGAUUCUCUCCCAAUUUGCUAGACAUGGAUAGAAAAGAUUCAAGAGAAAAAGAAAGAUUUUAAGUAUCUUCCUCUAACCAAUGGACCACCCAAUGAUUAUUGGAUUUUAGUUAUCAAAAGUAUUAUUUGAUUGCUUAUUUGAUUAUAUCAAGUUUUUCAUUAUAUGCAGUGAAUUCAUGUGCAAUUGUAAAGUAAAAAAGAUUUUUUUAUACAUUCUCAAUAUGCACACACCCUCGACACAAGGGUUGGGAAUGAAUAAUGAUACCCAUACCAAUUGCUUUAAUGACCCAUAAUAAUCCUUCCAUAAGAGUGAAAAAGUGAAUACUUGCCACAAUCAUUCCCUACUUGUGAUUUGAUUUUCAUAUUAAUUAUCUCAUUAAUAAACCCCAUACCAUUUGUUUUUUUUGGGGGUGGGGGGGCACGCUUGCAAAUAAUAAAUAUUACAAAUUGGCAUUUUGAUUCCCAUUCCGCUCUCUAUUCGGGCAUGCGAACCGAACAGUCCUCAUCUGUUUUCCACUACCACGCUCAAUUGGUCAUUUUGGUCGGUGCAACUUUCCAAUUACUCCCUAUCUUUUUCCUAAUUAGACCAAACUGACCGAGUUAUUCCAAGAGCCAGUGGCUGGAAUUUCAUAACGACUAUUAAGUCAAUGGGUCAUAUCAUCACAUUAUAUCGCAAAUUUCCGCCAAAUAAGAUGGGCAAUAUGAUUAAACUUCGUUAACAUUAAAACGGUUUGUUUAAUGGUUAUCCAUUGACGAUUGUUAAGAUAUACUUCAAAUACUAGAUUUUAGAAAUAUAAAAUUAAUUUAAAAAUUUAUAUAAAUAUAAGAAAAAAUAAUUAUUAUUAGCAUGUGUAUAUACAAAAAAAAUAGAUUGAGUGAAAUUUAAAUAUAUUAACAAGUGUCAUUGGACACCCGUUAAAAAAUAUCAAACUAAAAUUAAUUGCCUAAAAUAGUGGAUGUGAAUUCCCAAAUGACACUAUCUAUAAUAUAGUUGGAUUUGUCCCCUUCCUUAUAGCAUAGGAGUAGGAAUCAAUGUAUAAGUAAAUGAUUGAUGCUUGACAAAAAAAUCCUAAAUGACACUAUUUAUAUCUUCCCUGUUUUCCUUGCGCAAACUACGAUUAUCUUUUCAGGUACCUUCGAUCUACUUGAAAAUGUUUUUGACAAAAUUGGGUUGAUGAUGAAAGAUGAAGACUUAUAGGAAUAACUUUGAAAUAAGGAGACUAAAUAGAAAAGUUUUGGUAAGGUAGGUGGCAUACCUAAUGAUCUUACAUGACCAAUUACUAAACAUGGAAUUCAAACUCGAACCCUAGUGCAUAAUUCAAAUCUUGAAUUUGAUUCUUCCCCUAACUGCCAAACAUGGUUUGAAUUCUAAAUUUGGUUCUCUCCCAACUGCCAACACAGAAUAUAAAUCUUAGCACAGAAUUCGAAUAUCGAACUUGACAGCAGAAAAGAUUCAAGGGAAAGAUUUUAAAAAUCUUCCUCUAAGCAAUGGACCACCUAAUGGUUAUUUGAUUUUAGUUAUCAAAAGUAUUGUUUGAUUGCUUAUUUGAUUAUAUCAAGUUUUUCAUUAUAUGUAGUGUAUUCAUGUACAAGUGUAAAGCGAAAAAGAUUUUUCAUACAUUCUCUACGUGCACACACCCUCAACACAAGCGUUGAGAAUGAAUAAUGCUACCUAUACCAAUUGUUUUAAUGACCUAUAAUAAUCCUUCCAUAAAAGUGAAAAAGUUAAAACUUGCCUACAAUCAUUCUCUACUUGUGAUUUGAUUUUCAUAUUAAAUCUCUAGUUGUUUUUUUUCUUUUUUUGGUGGGGGGGUGGGGAAGGCAUACACUUGCAAAUUAUAAUAAUGAUACAAAUUGGCUUUCUUAUUCUUGAAUGAUACUAUUUAUAUCUUCUCUGUUUUCCUUGUGCAAACUAUGAUUAUCUUUUUAGGUAUCUUCGAUCUACUUGAAAACAUUUUUGACUAAAUUGGGUUGAUAAUGAAAGAUGAAGACUUAUAGAAAGAACUUUCACAAAAAGAGGACUAAAUAGAAAAGUUUUGGUAAGGUAGGUGACAUACCUAAUAAUCCUAUAUGACCAAUUGUUAAACAUGGAAUUCGAACUCGAAUUUGGUACAGAAUUUGAAUCUUGAAUUUGAUUCUCCUCUAACUGUCAAAUAUGGUUCGUAUCUCCCAACGGCAAACAUGGAAUCUAAACGUUAGCACAGAAUUCGAAUCUCAAACCUAAUAGCAGAAAAGAUUCAAAGGAAAGAUUUUAAGAAUCUUCCUCUAACCUGUGGACCACCCAAUGGUUAUUUGAUUUUAAUUAUCGAAAGUAUUAUUUGAUUGUUUAUUUGAUUAUAUCAAGUUUUUCAUUAUAUGUAGUGUAUUCAUGUGCAAGUAUAAAGUGAAAAAAAUUUUCAUUCCUUCUCUACGUGCACUCACCCUCAACACAAGGGUUGAUAAUGAAUAAUGCUACCCAUACCAAUUGUUUUAAUGACCUAUAAUAAUCCUUCUGUAAAAGUGAAAAAGUUAAUACUUGCCUACAAUCAUUCCCUACUUGUGAUUUGAUUUUCAUAUUAAAUCUUGUUAAUAAGCCCCAUAUUAGUUAUUUUUUUUCUUGUUUUUGGAAGGGGGGAGGCAUACACUUGCAAAUUAUAAUAAUAAUACAAAUUGGCUUUCUUAUUCUUGAAUGACACUAUUUAUAUCUUCCCCAUUUUCCUUGUACAAACUAUGAUUAUCUUUUUAGGUACCUUUGAUCUACUUGAAAUCAUUUUUGACUAAAUUGAGUUAAUAAUGAAAGAUGAAGUCUUAUAGGAAAAACUUUCACAAAAAGAGGACUAAAUAGAAAAGUUUUGGUAAGGUAGGUGACAUACCUAAUAAUCCUAUAUGACCAAUUGCUAAACAUGGAAUUCAAACUCGAACUUGGUAUAGAAUUCGAAUCUUGAAUUUGAUUCUCCUCUAGCUGCCAAACAUGGCUCGAAUCCUAAAUUGGAUUAUCUUCCAACGGCCAACAUGGAAUCUAAACCUUAGCACAAAAUUCGUAUCUCGAACCUAACAGCUGAAAAGAUUCAAAGGAAAGAUUUUAAGAAUCUUCCUCUAACCAUUGGACUACCCAAUGGUCAUUUGAUUUUAGUUAUCAAAAGUAUUAUUUUAUUGCUUAUUUGAUUAUAUCAAGUUUUUCAUUGUAUGUAGUGUAUUCAUGUGCAAGUGUAAAGCAAAAAAGAUUAUUCAUACCUUCUCUACAGGCACGCACACCCUCAAUUUAAGGGUUGAGAAUGAAUAAUGAUACCCAUACCAAUUGUUUUAAUGACCUAUAAUAAUCCUUCCAUAACAGUGAAAAAGUUAAUACCUGUCCACAAUCAUUCCCUACUUGUGAUUUGAUUUUCAUAUUAAAUCCCAUACUAGUUUUUUUUCUCUUUUUUUUUGGGUCAUACACUUGCAAAUUAUAAUAAUAAUACAAAUUGGCUUUCUCAUUCCCAUUUCGCUCUGUAUUCGGGCAUGCGAGCCAAACAGUUCUCAUUCGUUUCAUACAACCACGCUCAAUAGGUCAUUUUGGUCGGCACAACUUUCCAAUUAUUCCUCUCCAUUUCCUAACUAGUCCAAACUGCCCGAGUUAUUCCAAGAGCUAGCGGCUGGCUGGAAUUCCACAACGACUUUAAGUCAAUAAUGUGUCAUAUCAACACAUCAUGUUGUGCAUUUCCGUCAAGCAAGAUGGGCAACUAGAUAAGUCCCCGCAUCGGUACUUGGGGGGGUUUGAAUUGGGUAGAUAAGUCCCCUUGGCGCCUUCAAAAGUUGCCGGCUUUUGAAGGUUGCUUGGGGAUUUAGGUUUAUUUGUCGAAUUCUUGCUUUCGUCAAGAAAAUGUUAGAAAAAAAAGAUGGGCAACUAGAUUAAACUUCGUCAAAACUAAAACUGUUUAUUUAACGGCUGUCCAUUAAUGCACGUUAAGAUGCACUUCAAAUAUUAAAUUUUUAGAAAGGUAAAAUUAAUUAAAAAAAUUUGUUUAAAAUGUUCAUCAUAUUUUAUUAAAUAACCUUUUUUUUAUCUUUCACUUUUAAAAUGUUAAUUUAUGUCCCUUAUAAAUUGACAUUCACAAAAUUUGAUUUCAACCUAAGUUUUCGAUGACUUUUGAGCAUGAAUUUACCAUAUGACUCACAUGCAAUAAUUUUUAUAUACAAAAAAGUCAAAUCUCACUCUUUUAGUAGCAAAAAUUAAUAUAAAUUGGGUCAAAUCCUACUUUUUUACGAAAAAUAAUGAAUAUAGUUUGUGUCAUAUACCGCUUUUUUAGGGGCAAAAAUAAAUAUAGAUUUGGUCAUUUAUUUAAUUGCAAAUGAGAUCUAAUCUUUUGUCUCUAAAAAAAAGUCAUGUAUGGAUCACGCAAUGAAUUCAUGAUAAAAAAUGGUUGAAAAUUUAAGUUGGUGUCAAAUUUUACCGAGUUAAUUUUGUAAGAGAUGUAAAGUUACUAUUUUAAAUAUGAAGGACGAAAAAUUUUAUUUGACAAAAUGUAAAUAACGUUUUGAACGAUUUUUUCUUAAAAAAAUUACUAUGUGUGUAUAUACAAGAUAAGUUGAGUGAAAUUUCGAUGUGUUAAUGAGUGACUAUUAGACAUCCGUUAAAAAAAAAAUCCCAAACUAAAAUUAACAGCUUAAAAGAGUGGACGUGAACUCUCGAAUGAUACUAUUUAUAAUUCAGUUUGACCUGUCCUUUCUUCGUAACGUAAAAAUAGGAAUAGAUAUAUGUAUAUAUUUUUUACGUUUGACAAAAACAAAAAAUUCCAGAAUGACACUUAUAACUCCUUGAGCAAACUACGAUUAUCUUUUCAGGUACCUUCGACCUUACAUAAAAACGUUUUUGACUAAAUUGGGUUGAUAAUGAAAGAUGACUAAAUUGGGUUGAUAUCUCAGAGGAGUCGGUCACCAAUGACCUUACUUAAAAACGUUUUUGACUUAGAACAGUUUCGUUAAGGUACGUGACCUACAUAAUAAAAUAAUCAUAUAUCACCAAUUGCCGUUAACGGUAGGCAUUGGUUUGGUAGACGUAAACGUCAUUGGUGACCGACUCCUCAAGGAACUCCCGUUUCCCCUUCUAAGUCGGUCAUCGCUCAGACUCUUCACGCUAUAAAUUUCCUCAACAUCCCCUCUUUCUUUCAUUCAUCCUUUCUUGUUGUACUAGUCUUCUGAAAUUCUCCCCAAUUCUUCUAUCAAAAGCGGCUUUCUAUUUUCUAUCCCAACAAGGUAAUUGAUCUGUCUUGGAUAAUCUUUAGUAAUUCAAAGAGUAAAUUGUUUAGUUCUAAAAUCUAUGUUUUGGGCGUUUGGCUUUGAGAUUGGUGGUGAAUUGGGAUUAAUCUUGUAUUUUUUCUGACGUAUCUGUUUGGGUUAUUCUGAGAUAAUUUAUUGGUUAAUUUUUUCAAUUAGUCCGGUUGGUUGAUUUUGCUUUAGGGUUUUCGAUUUUAUUUUUUGGAUUUUGAUGAUCUUGCCUAUGGUUUUUAUAAUAUUUGGAAAUUGAAUGAUGCUUCUCUAGGGUCUUUAAUAAAUUCUCGAUUUUGACAAGUUUGCUCUAGUGUCUUCGAUCGCUGUCAGUCAAAUAGUUGUUGGUUGUUUUUUUCUGCAGAAGGAUUCCUUUUGCUAUUGUUUUGUUUUUCCUAGCGAUUUAAGCUGGUUUUGGAGUUUCAAUUAGUAAUAAACGGAGUUGAUGUGUCAAUUUUAGGUUGAGAAAUUUGCAAUUUAACACAGCUGAUUUUCGUUCUUUGUUUAUUGAGCAGAUGCAAAUCUUCGUGAAAACCCUCACCGGGAAGACCAUCACUCUUGAAGUUGAAAGCUCUGACACAAUUGAUAAUGUGAAAGCCAAGAUUCAGGACAAGGAGGGCAUCCCUCCGGACCAGCAAAGGCUGAUAUUUGCCGGAAAACAGCUGGAGGAUGGACGCACCCUUGCCGACUACAACAUUCAGAAGGAAUCCACCCUUCACUUGGUUCUGCGCCUGAGGGGAGGCAUGCAGAUCUUUGUAAAGACCCUUACCGGAAAAACAAUUACCCUCGAAGUUGAAAGCUCUGAUACAAUUGAUAAUGUCAAGGCAAAGAUUCAGGACAAAGAGGGCAUUCCCCCAGACCAGCAGAGGUUGAUUUUUGCUGGAAAACAACUUGAAGAUGGCCGCACCCUUGCUGAUUAUAACAUUCAGAAGGAGUCGACCCUUCACUUGGUGCUUAGGUUGAGGGGAGGGAUGCAGAUCUUUGUGAAGACCCUCACGGGAAAGACUAUCACUUUGGAGGUUGAGAGCUCAGAUACAAUCGACAACGUGAAAGCUAAGAUCCAGGAUAAGGAGGGAAUCCCUCCGGAUCAGCAGAGGCUGAUCUUUGCUGGCAAGCAGCUUGAAGAUGGCAGGACUCUUGCUGACUAUAAUAUUCAGAAAGAGUCAACUCUUCAUUUAGUGCUGAGAUUGAGGGGUGGAAUGCAGAUUUUUGUCAAGACGUUGACAGGGAAGACCAUAACUCUUGAGGUGGAGAGUUCAGAUACUAUAGAUAAUGUGAAGGCAAAAAUUCAGGACAAGGAGGGCAUACCACCAGACCAGCAAAGGUUGAUCUUUGCUGGUAAGCAGCUUGAGGAUGGCCGCACGCUUGCAGAUUACAACAUCCAGAAGGAAUCAACGCUCCAUUUGGUUCUCAGGUUGAGGGGGGGAAUGCAAGUUUUUGUUAAGACUCUGACUGGAAAGACCAUCACUUUGGAGGUGGAGAGCUCAGAUACGAUUGAUAACGUCAAAGCUAAGAUCCAGGACAAGGAGGGGAUCCCACCUGACCAGCAGAGAUUGAUCUUUGCUGGUAAACAGUUGGAAGAUGGAAGGACUUUGGCAGAUUAUAACAUCCAGAAAGAGUCCACCCUUCACCUUGUCCUGCGUCUGCGUGGUGGUUUCUGAAUGCUGCAUCUAUAUGCAGUUGAAGGCUGUCUCUUGAAGAUGGCAGUAUUUUGUGUUGUCUGCUUGACUUCUGUUGGUGUUCAAGCCAUGGGUCCUAAUAACUUCUCAAGCGUUUUUUAAAUGUAUAGUUUAGGGAUUUGGUGGUGGUGUUCCAUGUUUGUGAUGGGAAUUAAUGGUGGUGUUAUUUGAUUUGUUAAUAAAGUUCAGAAGUUUUCAAUA